rnacentral:rRNA from 1 species
GACGAACGCUGGCGGCGUGCUUAACACAUGCAAGUCGAGCGGUAAGGCCCUUUCGGGGGUACGACGAGCGGCGAACGGGUAGAGUAACAACGUGGGUGACCUCGCCCUCCAGCUCUGGGAGUAAGACCCGGGAAACCGUAGGGUCGUAAUAACCGGAUAUGACUUCAUGACGCAUGUUGUGGAGUGGAAAGACCUUGUGCGGCUGAGGA